rnacentral:rRNA from 1 species
UACGUAGGGGGCUAGCGUUGUCCGGAAUUAUUGGGCGUAAGGGCGCGUAGGCGGUUUGCUAAGUUGGAUGUGAAAACUGUGGGCUCAACCCAUAGCCUGCAUCCGAAACUGAGUGGCUAGAGUAUGGAAGAGGGUCGCGGAAUUCCCGGUGUAGAGGUGAAAUUCGUAGAUAUCGGGAGGAACACCAGUGGCGAAGGCGGCGACCUGGUUCAAUACUGACGCUGAGGUGCGAAAGCG